UCUUCACUGGACCAGGAUAAGGUGCAGGAGAGACCUCUUCACUGGACCAGGAUAAAAAUCUGUGAAUCAAUCCGUUGUGGUGAUAUGGGUGAUGUGGGUGAUAUGGGUGAUGCCCUUUGAACUCCAGGAAAAGGUUUUCACACACAAGACCAGAGGAACAGGGACUUGAGGCCAUGGCAGAGCAGGGGGAAGCCCGGUUGACAGGAGAGGAACCACGAACACCCAACACGCCAUCCCUGAACCACCGGGGGACAGUAGAGGAACCACGAACACCCAACACGCCAUCCCUGAACCACCGGGGGACAGUAGAGGAACCACGAACACACAACACGCCAUCCCUGAACCACCGGGGGACAGUAGAGGAACCACGAACACACAACACGCCAUCCCUGAACCACCGGGGGACAGGGGGGACUUUCGGGAGGGUCAAGAUGUGGAGAAGGGAGAAGUCAUAACCAGAUCCAGGAGGGAGAAGAACGGUCGCUUCACCAACCCCUGGCCCACAUGGCUCCUCCUCUGACUCCCUGCUCCGGUUCUACCUACUAGAUAAGGACCACAGCAACGUACCCCGUUCCAAAGAGGUACGAAUCCCAUCUUUAACAUAUUGGCUUUUUGCCUUAUUUUUGCUUGUUAAUUCUACAUUCCAUUAGCAAUUUGCAUAGAAAUGUAUCCUAGUAGAUGAUGCAUGACAACCCCAUGCAAUUAUAUUCAUUUAGACCUGAUGUAUUUCAAGGCAAGGAGUUGAAGUGCUUUCAUCAGAGGUGAGUCCUUUUUCAGCCAGGUAUUUGUUGUUAUUUAGUGAAGAGCCGUCCUGCCCAGGUAUGUAACUAGUGUAGAGCUGUCCUGCCCAGGUAUGAAACUAGUGUAGAGAUGUCCUGCCCAGGUAUGAAACUAGUGUAGAGAUGUCCUGCCCAGGUAUGAACUAGUGUAGAGAUGUCCUG